UGUAUGAAGUAUGAAUGUAUGAUCUAUCUAUGAUGUCUAUAAAUAGUUGAGUCCCAACCCAUCCCUGAAAUCCCGAGAACCCCUUCUCCACUGUCUUCCCCCAGACUCUCUCUUCCGCCCCUUUUUACAGGGCCAAAAAUAACACCCCACCCCACAUCUAUCUAUCUAUAUAUAUCUAAACCCCUCAAUCUUUUUUUUACCCAAAUGGCCCAAGAAGAUUCCUCUCCAGAUCCAUCUCCUUCUCCCCCAAACCUCUCGGAUCCUUCCAAACCCGAUCCACCUCCUCCAUCUUCGUCGUCGUCGUCUUCGUCUUCGUUAUCGCGAAACGUUUCGUUUAGCAGGCUCAACGCGCAGGCUCCCGAGUUCGUUCCGACUCAGCAGCAAGCACCGCGACUCGCUGCUGCUGCUUCUGCUUCUGCUGCUGUUGUUCCUCCUCCUCCGCCUCCGCCGCCGCCUAUGCACUCGUUUCCUCCUCCUCCGCCGCCGCCUCCGUUCCACGUUGCGGCGGCGAUCCAGGGUCACGUGGCGGUUCCUCCUCACGUGAUCCCCGUUCAGCAUCCUCAUCAUGUUCCGGUUCAGUACCAUCCUCAUCACCCGCAUCAUCCGCAUCCGCAUCCUCAUCAUCAUCAUCAGCAGUACUACGGCGGCGGAGGCGGUGGUGGUGGGGGAGGGUUUAGAGAGCAAGAGGUUGGGGCGCAAGCGCAAAAUCAAGCUCCGGUGGAGUCUGAUCAUGUUGUUGCUGCCGCUUCUUCGUCCUCGGCGAAAAACAAGAUCUCCGAGGAGGCUACUCAGAAGAUUUUGAAUCAGGUCCGAAAUUCAGGCUUGAUAGAAGAUCAAUCCAUUGAAGCUCUUGAAGUGGAUUUUACAAACAAGUUUAUUGGAGGUGGUCCUUUAGAUAGAGGUUGUGUCAGUUGGAAGACAGGGCUGAGGUUGUCAACUCAAUAACUUGCAUCAAAGUUGGCUAUCCAGGAUGUUACUCAAUACUUCUUUGAAAUGAAGAAGAAAAAAAAGGUCCUGCACAUGUUACAUGGAUAGGCAUGACCAUAUCUUGUUCAGGUCCUACAAAAUCUGCUGUCAUUUGAUAUUUGUUGAAGUCUGCAAUUGUGUAAAAAAAACGGAUGCAAUUCAUCAGAUUUUUGCUACAGCUUCAACAUCAGCCUUGCAUGGUAUUUCUCUAAGAUAGGCGACCAACCUAUUGGAGAGAACGCUCGCAUUGUGUAUUCUUCCGAGAGGGAGAAAUUUGGUGCAGAUGUGAUUGAAGAAAUUAAUCUGCUUAUCACUCCCAAAGAAGUCAUUUCUUGCUAAAGCUGGAGCUCUUUUUUGAGUUUGUGUUAAAUUGUUAAUGAUUUCCAUAGAAAAUGAAAAGAUAGUGGUGGAGCUGUAGCACAGCAAUUGUAUUGAAAGCUUCCUUUCUCUGAUUAAAAUGUACUACCCUUGGGGACUAAGUUGAGCAACUUGUGAAGAGAAGCAACGAUAACCCUUGAAAAGCUGAGAGGGUGUUUGUGAAAAUGAUUAGGCUGGUGGUAGCUUGUUUUUUUGUAAAAGUACCUCACCAAGGGCAUCAUUUUGUCUGCAACCACUCAUUUUUUGCAUGCCACUUAAGCCAUUGAAAGAAGAAUUCAGUACUUUCUAUAGAGUGGUCAAGCAAGUUACAAAAUGCUUUGAUGGACCUGGUCUUGUGCUUGCUAUUUUGCAACUUUUAGUUCUAUGGUUGGGCUGUAGGGUCAUUUUUGUUGGGUGAAUGCAAGGCAUGUUUCUGUAUUUUCUGCUCAUGUAACCAUUGAACAUUAUCUUGAUUAAUGAAUUUUUUUUGUUCAUCAAAAUUUUUUUGUUGGAAUUUAGUACGAAUGGGGUCUCUAUAUUUUUUUCUUCUUUGAGAAAAUUUUCCCUAGGCAGUAUUUGUGUCCUUGCAUGAGAUAUUACAGAAUAGGUAUAAAAAUAUUAAUUGCAGGAAAUUUUCGUGGAGUAAUUUGACAAAAUUUGUUUGCUUCUAGAGUUGCAAAUGCAUCAGACUUUGUG